rnacentral:rRNA from 1 species
AGCGAACGCUGGCGGCAGGCCUAACACAUGCAAGUCGAACGAACCUUUCGGGGUUAUUGGCGGACGGGUGAGUAACACGUGGGAACGUGCCUUUAGGUUCGGAAUAACUCAGGGAAACUUGUGCUAAUACCGAAUGUGCCCUUCGGGGGAAAGAUUUAUCGCCUUUAGAGCGGCCCGCGUCUGAUUAGCUAGUUGGUUGAGGUAAUGGCUCACCAAGGCGACGAUCAGUAGCUGGUCGGAGAGGAUGAUCAGCCACAUUGGGACUGAGACACGGCCCAAACUCCUACGGGAGGCAGCAGUGGGGAAUCUUGCGCAAUGGGCGAAAGCCUGACGCAGCCAUGCCGCGUGAAUGAUGAAGGUCUUAGGAUUGUAAAAUUCUUUCACCGGGGACGAUAAUGACGGUACCCGGAGAAGAAGCCCCGGCUAACUUCGUG